AAAAGUUACCCUAAAGGAGGAGAAACCAUUAGGAAAAGCAAGCCUGAACCCUAGCAACCUAGCAGAGGUCCAAGGCUGUGACCCUCUAGGUGGGUCACUGUACCUCCCACCACCCCUCACCAUCAGUCACGUUGGCUGGUGCUGAGCAUCAUGUAGCAGCACUACAGGAGAGUGAGAUCUUCUCUUCCUGUUCCUGGCAUGGCCCUGGUCUGCUCCGUUCCACUUCCUGUGAGUAGCCGGGGGGUCACUGAAAGGAUGACUGCCUUAUGACAACAGCCAAGAAAUUCCAGACAUUGCAAAAACAGCCUUGAUUAUAUCUCUGCCAUCAGUCCAUGGCAAUAUAAUGUGAAAGAAAGGAAGAAAGGAAAAGGGAGCAAAGCUGUGUGUUAUGAUGGGAUUUUUGCCAGAAGCAGAAGAUUCCUUUGGAAAGACCACAGCAACGGGCCAAGGCCAGAAGGUACCUCUAACAGUUGUAAGACAUGUUGAUGGACCUUGAGACAAAGAAAGCGGGGGGGAAUGUUUUCUACAUUAUUUGUGAUGAAGAAGGAUUAAAAUGUGGUGGUGUGGAUUCUAUCUCAUGCAAGCUCCUUCCCACUCUGGAUUAUUCACCUAGAAAUUUAAGAGAAUGGCGCAGUGCCGACUUUCAGAAGCCGCUUCAUGGAAAUCUUGCGUUGAGCUGCUAGAACAUCAGCAGAAGCUUGAAUUUGAAACAUGAAUGUUUGCUCUCCCACACAGAUUUUUGGUGCCAUCUAGUGCAUGCUGUAAAUCCAGACUGAGGCUGAAUCCACAUGCAGUAAAAAACAGCUGAAAAGCAGACUGGGAGUGCUAGCUUCCACACACUAGUGUUCCCAUUCCACCGCUAAUCCACAUUAAAGUCUGGAAGUGCAUUUAUUGUGGAUUGUGGACGGAAUAGGAACAAUAGCUGCCACAUGCUACCACCUCUAAGCCACUUCUGAGCUUUUUUUUUUAAUGUGUGUGGAUGCAGCCUGAGUGGUUGUCAAAUCUGAGACUGCAAGACACAAAGAUACAUAAGCUUUUCUCACUUUGUUGACAAACUAUAUUACUGUUGCUUUUACAAUAUUUAGCACGCAGCAGUUAAAUUGUUCUCUCUCCUUGUUUUCCCUGAGUGGAGGAUGAUAUAAUUUUGCUGCAGACCACAGUAUUAAUGUCUUUAAAUGCAGUGUGGGGGAAAACCUCAAAUAAUGUGUUUCUAAGAGGCAUAUACAGCCUCCUACUAAUCUUAUCUGCCCUGAAACCGUAGGGCUGCUUGCAGCAACAAAAGGUUGCCAUAGAGCAGCAGGAGUUGAAUGGAAAGCAAGCACACUGACGAAUGGUUUCCCCACUCCAUCCCUGGCUGUGUUCACACAUUUUGCAAAAAGUAUUAUGCAAACUCUGCCCACCAUUCAACUUCUAACAUGUGAACCCUGCACAAAAGAAUUGCCUGACAUUUACAAUUUGUUGGCUGCAGUUUCUGCAGCAUUUUAACAGAUCGGGUACUUUGGCCUGGACCCCUCAUAUCUCCUUUCUCAGUCACAUCAAACAUCAGUUUUCCAUAAGCUUAUUCAGAAGAAAGGAUGAUUGGGCACCUUUAUACAUAUUACCCCCUCUGAUAGCUUGGGAUGCAUUGAAUGUCUGUUUUAAUAAUCAGCUUCUUGCGUUUUAAAGCAGCCUUCCCCAACCCGU
ensembl:lncRNA